rnacentral:rRNA from 1 species
UACGUAGGGCGCAAGCGUUGUCCGGAAUUAUUGGGCGUAAAGAGCUCGUAGGCGGCCUGUUGCGUCCGCUGUGAAAUCCCGGGGCUUAACCCCGGGCGUGCAGUGGAUACGGGCAGGCUGGAGGCAGGCAGGGGAGAACGGAAUUCCCGGUGUAGCGGUGAAAUGCGCAGAUAUCGGGAGGAACACCGGUGGCGAAGGCGGGUCUCUGGGCCGAUACUGACGCUGAGAAGCGAAAGCGUGGGGAGCGAACAGG